CCUACGGGAGACAGCAGUGAGGAAUAUUGGUCAAUGGGCGAGAGCCUGAACCAGCCAAGUCGCGUGAGGGAGUACUGCCCUAUGGGUUGUAAACCUCUUUUGUCGGGGAGCAAAAGCCGGACGUGUCCGGCUGUGAUAGUACCCGAAGAAAAAGCAUCGACUAACUCCGUGCCAGCCGCCGCGGUAAUACGGGGGAUGCGAGCGUUAUCCGGAUUUAUUGGGUUUAAAGGGUGCGCAGGCGGAUUUUUAAGUCAGCGGUCAAAUCGUGGGGCUCAACCCCAUCCAGCCGUUGAAACUGGGGAUCUAGAGUGUGCGAGAGGUAGGCGGAAUGCGUGGUGUAGCGGUGAAAUGCAUAGAUAUCACGCAGAACCCCGAUUGCGAAGGCAGCAUACCGGUGCACAACUGACGCUCAGGCACGAAAGCGUGGGUAUCGAACAGGAUUAGAUACCCGAGUAGUC
rnacentral:rRNA from 1 species